rnacentral:rRNA from 1 species
AAAUUGAAGAGUUUGAUCAUGGCUCAGAUUGAACGCUGGCGGCAGGCCUAACACAUGCAAGUCGAACGGUAACAGGAAGCAGCUUGCUGCUUCGCUGACGAGUGGCGGACGGGUGAGUAAUGUCUGGGAAACUGCCUGAUGGAGGGGGAUAACUACUGGAAACGGUGGCUAAUACCGCAUAACGUCGCAAGACCAAAGAGGGGGACCUUCGGGCCUCUUGCCAUCAGAUGUGCCCAGAUGGGAUUAGCUUGUUGGUGAGGUAACGGCUCACCAAGGCGACGAUCCCUAGCUGGUCUGAGAGGAUGACCAGCCACACUGGAACUGAGACACGGUCCAGACUCCUACGGGAGGCAGCAGUGGGGAAUAUUGCACAAUGGGCGCAAGCCUGAUGCAGCCAUGCCGCGUGUAUGAAGAAGGCCUUCGGGUUGUAAAGUACUUUCAGCGGGGAGGAAGGUGUUGUGGUUAAUAACCGCAGCAAUUGACGUUACCCGCAGAAGAAGCACCGGCUAACUCCGUGCCAGCAGCCGCGGUAAUACGGAGGGUGCAAGCGUUAAUCGGAAUUACUGGGCGUAAAGCGCACGCAGGCGGUCUGUCAAGUCGGAUGUGAAAUCCCCGGGCUCAACCUGGGAACUGCAUUCGAAACUGGCAGGCUUGAGUCUUGUAGAGGGGGUAGAAUUCCAGGUGUAGCGGUGAAAUGCGUAGAGAUCUGGAGGAAUACCGGUGGCGAAGGCGGCCCCCUGGACAAAGACUGACGCUCAGGUGCGAAAGCGUGGGGAGCAAACAGGAUUAGAUACCCUGGUAGUCCACGCCGUAAACGAUGUCUACUUGGAGGUUGUGCCCUUGAGGCGUGGCUUCCGGAGCUAACGCGUUAAGUAGACCGCCUGGGGAGUACGGCCGCAAGGUUAAAACUCAAAUGAAUUGACGGGGGCCCGCACAAGCGGUGGAGCAUGUGGUUUAAUUCGAUGCAACGCGAAGAACCUUACCUGGUCUUGACAUCCACGGAAGUUUUCAGAGAUGAGAAUGUGCCUUCGGGAACCGUGAGACAGGUGCUGCAUGGCUGUCGUCAGCUCGUGUUGUGAAAUGUUGGGUUAAGUCCCGCAACGAGCGCAACCCUUAUCCUUUGUUGCCAGCGGUUAGGCCGGGAACUCAAAGGAGACUGCCAGUGAUAAACUGGAGGAAGGUGGGGAUGACGUCAAGUCAUCAUGGCCCUUACGACCAGGGCUACACACGUGCUACAAUGGCGCAUACAAAGAGAAGCGACCUCGCGAGAGCAAGCGGACCUCAUAAAGUGCGUCGUAGUCCGGAUUGGAGUCUGCAACUCGACUCCAUGAAGUCGGAAUCGCUAGUAAUCGUGGAUCAGAAUGCCACGGUGAAUACGUUCCCGGGCCUUGUACACACCGCCCGUCACACCAUGGGAGUGGGUUGCAAAAGAAGUAGGUAGCUUAACCUUCGGGAGGGCGCUUACCACUUUGUGAUUCAUGACUGGGGUGAAGUCGUAACAAGGUAACCGUAGGGGAACCUGCGGUUGGAUCACCUCCUUA